GAUGAACGCUGGCGGCGUGCCUAAUACAUGCAAGUCGAGCGAACGGACGAGAAGCUUGCUUCUCUGAUGUUAGCGGCGGACGGGUGAGUAACACGUGGAUAACCUACCUAUAAGACUGGGAUAACUUCGGGAAACCGGAGCUAAUACCGGAUAAUAUUUUGAACCGCAUGGUUCAAAAGUGAAAGACGGUCUUGCUGUCACUUAUAGAUGGAUCCGCGCUGCAUUAGCUAGUUGGUAAGGUAACGGCUUACCAAGGCAACGAUGCAUAGCCGACCUGAGAGGGUGAUCGGCCACACUGGAACUGAGACACGGUCCAGACUCCUACGGGAGGCAGCAGUAGGGAAUCUUCCGCAAUGGGCGAAAGCCUGACGGAGCAACGCCGCGUGAGUGAUGAAGGUCUUCGGAUCGUAAAACUCUGUUAUUAGGGAAGAACAUAUGUGUAAGUAACUGUGCACAUCUUGACGGUACCUAAUCAGAAAGCCACGGCUAACUACGUGCCAGCAGCCGCGGUAAUACGUAGGUGGCAAGCGUUAUCCGGAAUUAUUGGGCGUAAAGCGCGCGUAGGCGGUUUUUUAAGUCUGAUGUGAAAGCCCACGGCUCAACCGUGGAGGGUCAUUGGAAACUGGAAAACUUGAGUGCGGAAGAGGAAAGUGGAAUUCCAUGUGUAGCGGUGAAAUGCGCAGAGAUAUGGAGGAACACCAGUGGCGAAGGCGACUUUCUGGUCUGUAACUGACGCUGAUGUGCGAAAGCGUGGGGAUCAAACAGGAUUAGAUACCCUGGUAGUCCACGCCGUAAACGAUGAGUGCUAAGUGUUAGGGGGUUUCCGCCCCUUAGUGCUGCAGCUAACGCAUUAAGCACUCCGCCUGGGGAGUACGACCGCAAGGUUGAAACUCAAAGGAAUUGACGGGGACCCGCACAAGCGGUGGAGCAUGUGGUUUAAUUCGAAGCAACGCGAAGAACCUUACCAAAUCUUGACAUCCUUUGACAACUCUAGAGAUAGAGCUUUCCCCUUCGGGGGACAAAGUGACAGGUGGUGCAUGGUUGUCGUCAGCUCGUGUCGUGAGAUGUUGGGUUAAGUCCCGCAACGAGCGCAACCCUUAAGCUUAGUUGCCAUCAUUAAGUUGGGCACUCUAAGUUGACUGCCGGUGACAAACCGGAGGAAGGUGGGGAUGACGUCAAAUCAUCAUGCCCCUUAUGAUUUGGGCUACACACGUGCUACAAUGGACAAUACAAAGGGCAGCGAAACCGCGAGGUCAAGCAAAUCCCAUAAAGUUGUUCUCAGUUCGGAUUGUAGUCUGCAACUCGACUACAUGAAGCUGGAAUCGCUAGUAAUCGUAGAUCAGCAUGCUACGGUGAAUACGCUCCCGGGUCU
rnacentral:rRNA from 1 species